UAGGGAAUAUUGCGCAAUGGACGAAAGUCUGACGCAGCAACACCGCGUGAGGGAUGAAGCUUUUUGGAGUGUAAACCUCUGUCAGUGGGGACGAAUAAAUGACGGUACCCACAAAGGAAGCAUCGGCUAACUACGUGCCAGCAGCCGCGGUAAGACGUAGGAUGCAAGCGUUGUCCGGAAUUAUUGGGCGUAAAGAGUUCGUAGGCGGUCUAUCAAGUCUGGUGUUAAAUCCCGGGGCUCAACUCCGGACCGGCACUGGAUACUGGUAAGCUAGAGUGCAGUAGAGGCAAGGGGAAUUCCCAGUGUAGCGGUGAAAUGCGUAGAUAUUGGGAGGAACACCGGUGGCGUAAGCGCCUUGCUGGGCUGUUACUGACGCUGAGGAACGAAAGCCAGGGGAGCAAAUGGG
rnacentral:rRNA from 2 species